GAUGAACGCUGGCGGCGUGCUUAACACAUGCAAGUCGAACGGACCUGUACUGAAACCUAGUGAUUUACAGGUUAGUGGCGGACGGGUGAGUAACGCGUGGAAAACCUGCCGUAUACUGGGGGAUAACACUUAGAAAUAGGUGCUAAUACCGCAUAAGCGCACAGGCCCGCAUGGGACAGUGUGAAAAACUCCGGUGGUAUACGAUGGUUCCGCGUCUGAUUAGCUUGUUGGCGGGGUAACGGCCCACCAAGGCGACGAUCAGUAGCCGGCCUGAGAGGGUGAACGGCCACAUUGGGACUGAGACACGGCCCAGACUCCUACGGGAGGCAGCAGUGGGGAAUAUUGCACAAUGGGGGAAACCCUGAUGCAGCGACGCCGCGUGAGUGAAGAAGUAUCUCGGUACGUAAAGCUCUAUCAGCAGGGAAGAAAAAAAGUCUUUGGCUUUGGACGGUACCUGACUAAGAAGCCCCGGCUAACUACGUGCCAGCAGCCGCGGUAAUACGUAGGGGGCAAGCGUUAUCCGGAUUUACUGGGUGUAAAGGGAGCGUAGACGGCAGCGCAAGUCUGGAGUGAAAUGCCGGGGCUCAACCCCGGAACUGCUUUGGAAACUGUGCAGCUAGAGUGCGGGAGAGGUAAGCGGAAUUCCUAGUGUAGCGGUGAAAUGCGUAGAUAUUAGGAGGAACACCAGUGGCGAAGGCGGCUUGCUGGACCGUAACUGACGUUG
rnacentral:rRNA from 1 species